AGCGAACGCUGGCGGCAGGCUUAACACAUGCAAGUCGAGCGGGCAUCCUUGUGGUGUCAGCGGCAGACGGGUGAGUAACGCGUGGGAACGUGCCCUUCGGUUCGGAAUAACUCAGGGAAACUUGAGCUAAUACCGGAUACGUGCGAGAGCAGAAAGGUUUAUCUGCCGAAGGAUCGGCCCGCGUCUGAUUAGCUAGUUGGUGAGGUUAUGGCUCACCAAGGCGACGAUCAGUAGCUGGUCUGAGAGGAUGAUCGGCCACACUGGGACUGAGACACGGCCCAGACUCCUACGGGAGGCAGCAGUGGGGAAUAUUGGACAAUGGGGGCAACCCUGAUCCAGCCAUGCCGCGUGAGUGAUGACGGCCUUAGGGUUGUAAAGCUCUUUUCUCCGGGACGAUAAUGACGGUACCGGAGGAAUAAGCCCCGGCUGACUUCGUG
rnacentral:rRNA from 1 species